UACGUAGGUGGCAAGCGUUGUCCGGAUUUAUUGGGCGUAAAGAGCUCGUAGGCGGUUUGUCGCGUCGAAUGUGAAAACCCGGGGCUCAACCCCGGGCCUGCAUUCGAUACGGGCAGACUAGAGUUCGGUAGGGGAGUCUGGAAUUCCUGGUGUAGCGGUGAAAUGCGCAGAUAUCAGGAGGAACACCGGUGGCGAAGGCGGGACUCUGGGCCGAUACUGACGCUGAGGAGCGAAAGCGUGGGGAGCAAACAGG
rnacentral:rRNA from 1 species